UCAACACUACUCUGGCUCUUCGGACAGCGACAGAUCCGGGCACUACGAAGCGCGUUUUUUAGGCAACGCCCCAAGGAGGGGCAAAUCAAGAAGAGGAGGACCAGGAGGGGCGGGAGGAAAUCAAGAAGGACGCAUCCAGACUCGUUCCCAGACGCACUGAAAUUGUCCACAGCGGGUUACCUUUGUGAAAUUCGAUCCACUAACCUCUUGGAUCCAGUAUGCUGCGUCCAUGUGA